rnacentral:rRNA from 1 species
UUCCUUCGGGACACUGGAGACAGGUGGUGCAUGGUUGUCGUCAGCUCGUGUCGUGAGAUGUUGGGUUAAGUCCCGCAACGAGCGCAACCCUUACCUUCAGUAGCCAGCAUUUAGGAUGGGCACUCUGGAGGGACUGCCAGGGACAACCUGGAGGAAGGUGGGGAUGACGUCAAAUCAUCAUGCCCCUUAUGGCCAGGGCUACACACGUGCUACAAUGGCGUAAACAAAGAGAAGCGACCACGUGAGUGUGAGCGAAUCUCAAAAAUAACGUCUCAGUUCGGAUUGUAGUCUGCAACUCGACUACAUGAAGCUGGAAUCGCUAGUAAUCGCAGAUCAGAAUGCUGCGGUGAAUACGUUCCCGGGUCUUGUACACACCGCCCGUCACACCAUGGGAGUCAGUAACGCCCGAAGCCGGUGACCCAACCUAAGCAGGAGGGAGCCGUCGAAGGCGGGACGGAUGACUGGGGUGAAGUCGUAACAAGGUAGCCGUAUCGGAAGGUGCGGC